AUUGAACGCUGGCGGCAGGCCUAACACAUGCAAGUCGAGCGAGCGGCGGACGGGUGAGUAAUGUCUGGGAAACUGCCUGAUGGAGGGGGAUAACUACUGUAAACGGUAGCUAAUACCGCAUACCCUCAGAUGUUCCCAGAUGGGAUUAGCUAGUAGGUGGGGUACAGGCUCACCUGGGCGACGAUCCCUAGCUGGUCUGAGAGGAUGACCAGCAACACGGGAACUGAGACACGGGCCAGAAUCCUACGGGAGGAAGCAGUGGGGAAUAUUGAACAAUGGGCGCAAGCCUGAUGCAGCCAGGCCGAGUGUAUGAAGAAGGCCUUCGGGUUGUAAAGUACUUUCAGCGGGGAGGCGUUACCCGCAGAAGAAGCACAGGCUAAAUCCGUGCCAGCAGCCGCGGUAAUUC
rnacentral:rRNA from 1 species